ACAACUGUCUUGGUCUUUUGGCUAAGAUAAAGUGCACUAUCUACAAUUUAAUAUCUAGUAUAUGGAUCAUGUCCACUUUAAUUUAAAAUUUAUAUUUUUUUGGUGAGGGUCCACUUUAAUUUUAACUUUAUUUUUUGUGGGAGGGUCCAUCACACUGGCUUGCCAUUAGACCAUUGUGUAUCGUAUAAUCGUUGCACCAUACCAU
rfam:Zea mays cultivar B73 chromosome 10, whole genome shotgun sequence.